AGAAUCAACGCUGGCGGCGUGCCUAACACAUGCAAGUCGAACGAGAAAGUGGAGCAAUCCAUGAGUAAAGUGGCGACCGGGUGAGUAACACGUGACUAACCUACCUUCGAGUGGGGGAUAACCUCGGGAAACCGAGGCUAAUACCGCAUAACAUCGUGAGAUCAAAGCAGUAAUGCGCUGGAAGAGGGGGUCGCGGCUGAUUAGCUAGUUGGCGGGGUAAUGGCCCACCAGGGCGAAGAUCGGUA
rnacentral:rRNA from 1 species